GACGAACCGUGCGAACGUUAUUCGGAAUCACUGGGCUUAAAGCGCGUGUAGGCGGGAGGGCACGUCCGUUGCUGAAAUCCCCCGGCUCAACCGGGGAACGGGCGCGGAUACGACCUUCCUGGAGGGGCGUAGGGGGACCUGGAACUUCCGGUGGAGCGGUGAAAUGCGUUGAGAUCGGAAGGAACGCCCGUGGCGAAAGCGAGGUCCUGGACGCCUACUGACGCUGAGACGCGAAAGCCAGGGGAGCGAACGGG
rnacentral:rRNA from 1 species